rnacentral:lncRNA from 1 species
UUAAAAGUAAUGAAACAACUACUUAAAAUGGCACACUAGAAAAAAAAACUUCCUACUAAGAUAGUUUUUCCAGAGAUGCAUUAAACCACAACCUGUUACUUCAUGACGUUCUACAGGCUGCCUAAAAAUCGCAGUUGCUGGAACAGUGAACUUGGGGAAGCCUAUUUCUCAAUUUAGUCUUCUGACUCAAUUAUUGACAAAU